UACGUAUGGUGCAAGCGUUAUCCGGAUUUACUGGGCGUAAAGGGUGCGUAGGUGGUAUGGCAAGUCAGAAGUGAAAACUUUGGGCUCAACCCGGAGACUGCUUUUGUAACUGUCAUACUGGAGUGCAGGAGAGGAAAGCGGAAUUCCUAGUGUAGCGGAGAAAUGCGUAGAUAUUAGGAGGAACACCAGUGGCGAAGGCGGCUUUCUGAACUGUUACUGACACUGAGGCACGAGAGCGCGGGGAGCAAAC
rnacentral:rRNA from 1 species